CGUGGGGAAUAUUCUCUUCAUGCGGUUAACGCGAUCAGACUCCUUGCAGCCUCUAACAGCUACUAUGACCUGAAGCAUCUAAGUGAAAGGGCUACCACUAGGAAUCUGAUGCCGGUAGAUUUUAAAGCCGAAAGCAAGAACAAGAAUCCAAGCAUAAUAAUGGCUACGCAUAGAGCGAAACCAAGGUCCCAUCCUUUAUAGUUCUGGAACUACACUAUGGAGACUAGCCCUAUCAUUCCUCCAAUGGAAAUGCCAAGAGUGUACCAAUUGAAGAAGCUAGACUUGCGCCGAAGCUCAGUUUUUUCUUCAUCAAACUGGUCUCCACCAAAGGAUGGAAGGUUUGCUCGCAUAAACCCUUCACCCAAGGUUACAGUAGACAAUGCUAUGUAUAGUAUAGCAGCAUUAUAGCCAUGGACCUGCUUACAAUUGCUUGAUUGGUUUGAAAUGUCACAUGUUGGUGGUUUUAGUGAUGAAAUAUGAGCUUGCCAUGCUAGCAAUCCACACCCCUGCCAUUUAGAGACAAUUAAUUUUACCAACUGGUAUAUGGCACUCUAAAUCUAAAUUCUUACUAUUCA